UCCCUGGUGGCUCAGAUGGUAAAGAAUCUGCCUGCAAUGCAGGAGACCCAGGUUCCACCCCUGGGUAGCGAA
rfam:Ovis aries breed Texel chromosome 10, whole genome shotgun sequence.